rnacentral:rRNA from 1 species
AUUGAACGCUGGCGGCAUGCUUUACACAUGCAAGUCGAACGGCAGCGCGGGCUUCGGCCUGGCGGCGAGUGGCGAACGGGUGAGUAAUGCAUCGGAACGUGCCCAGUAGUGGGGGAUAGCCCGGCGAAAGCCGGAUUAAUACCGCAUACGACCUGAGGGUGAAAGCGGGGGACCGAAAGGCCUCGCGCUAUUCGAGCGGCCGAUGUCGGAUUAGCUAGUUGGUGGGGUAAAGGCUUACCAAGGCGACGAUCCGUAGCUGGUCUGAGAGGACGACCAGCCACACUGGGACUGAGACACGGCCCAGACUCCUACGGGAGGCAGCAGUGGGGAAUUUUGGACAAUGGGGGCAACCCUGAUCCAGCCAUGCCGCGUGCGGGAAGAAGGCCUUCGGGUUGUAAACCGCUUUUGUUCGGGAAGAAAUCCUCUGGGCUAAUACCCCGGGGGGAUGACGGUACCGGAAGAAUAAGCACCGGCUAACUACGUG